UGGGGAAUCUUGGACAAUGGGCGCAAGCCUGAUCCAGCCAUGCCGCGUGAGUGAUGAAGGCCUUAGGGUCGUAAAGCUCUUUCGCCAGAGAUGAUAAUGACAGUAUCUGGUAAAGAAACCCCGGCUAACUCCGUGCCAGCAGCCGCGGUAAUACGGAGGGGGUUAGCGUUGUUCGGAAUUACUGGGCGUAAAGCGUACGUAGGCGGAUUAGUCAGUCAGAGGUGAAAUCCCAGGGCUCAACCCUGGAACUGCCUUUGAUACUGCUAGUCUUGAGUUCGAGAGAGGUGAGUGGAAUUCCAAGUGUAGAGGUGAAAUUCGUAGAUAUUUGGAGGAACACCAGUGGCGAAGGCGGCUCACUGGCUCGAUACUGACGCUGAGGUACGAAAGUGUGGGGAGCAAACAGGAUUAGAUACCCUGGUAGUCCACACCGUAAACGAUGAAUGCCAGUCGUCGGGCAGUAUACUGUUCGGUGACACACCUAACGGAUUAAGCAUUCCGCCUGGGGAGUACGGUCGCAAGAUUA
rnacentral:rRNA from 2 species